UUUACCCUUCGUGAUGUGGUUGUUGCAGUCAUAAUGGAUUGAUUGCAAAGGGCAAUAAUUUAUUGCCCUUUUAUUUUG
rfam:Enterobacter cloacae S611 EDP2.NODE_1917, whole genome shotgun sequence.